rnacentral:piRNA from 1 species
UGCUAUGUCCUGCUCUAGGUUUGAUUGCA